rnacentral:rRNA from 1 species
AUUGAACGCUGGCGGCAUGCUUUACACAUGCAAGUCGAACGGUAACAGGCCUUCGGGUGCUGACGAGUGGCGAACGGGUGAGUAAUGCAUCGGAACGUGCCCAAUCGUGGGGGAUAACGUAGCGAAAGUUACGCUAAUACCGCAUAAGCCCUGAGGGGGAAAGCAGGGGAUCGCAAGACCUUGCGCGAAUGGAGCGGCCGAUGUCAGAUUAGCUAGUUGGUGGGGUAAAGGCCUACCAAGGCGACGAUCUGUAGCGGGUCUGAGAGGAUGAUCCGCCACACUGGGACUGAGACACGGCCCAGACUCCUACGGGAGGCAGCAGUGGGGUAAUUUUGGACAAGUGGGCGCAAGCCUGAUCCAGCCAUGCCGCGUGCGGGACGAA